CAGGGAAUAGUUUAGUUAGAAUUUCAGCUUUG
rnacentral:tRNA from 1 species